UCUCUCUCUCCUCUCUCCUCUCCCUCCUCUCUCUCUCUCUCUCUCUCCUCUCCUCUCUCCUCUCUCUCUCUCUCCUCUCUCCCCCCCUCUCUCUCUCUCUCUCUCUCUGUGUGUAGGAGGCCAUGCAGCAGUGGUACCAACACUACCAGACUCAGAGUUAUAGCAGUGCCAACCAAGAGGGCACCGCAGUCAGUGAAUACAGCAAGGAACAGCCUCAGGCCCCAGCCACGUCCUCCUACGACUACAGCUCCUACAUGCAGGCUCUCAGUCACUACUACUCUCAGACCCAGAUGAACCCCGCAGCUGUGCAGGCCUAUCAGCACCGAGACGCCGGCAAAGAGUCAGACGUGGUAAAGGCCUCUAUGGGGGCAGGACUCAAUGGCAGUGCCCAGACCGUCAUGCCUGCUGCUGUGAUGCCCGCCUACAGUGCCCUACCCAUGAUGCCCGGCUUCAUCAGUGCCCCCCACACCACCCCCAUGUCCGCCCCCCUCCCCCAGACCCAAGCCACCACCACGGACUGGAGCCAGUACUACUAUGCUCAGGCUCAGGCUCAGGCUCAGGCUCAAGCUCAGGCUCAGGCUCAGGCUCAGGCUCAGGCUCAGGCACGUGGUCAGAAGAGGGAGUAUCCUCAGCUGCCAGUUCAAGAGGUGGCAUCAGAUGGUCCAUACGUCGGGCAGCACUCGCAGGGGCUUGGAGGCCAGUACGCAGACUACUUCAAGAAGAAGAGGAUCUAA
rnacentral:lncRNA from 1 species